rnacentral:lncRNA from 1 species
CACAAAUAGAAAUACAGAAAGAAGUGACUUGCUGUGGGCCCUUUGAAGAAGUUGGUGACUGAGUUUGUUCAGUUGUGUUUAGAUAAUAGAAUUAGGCUUAGUCUACUGGGCCUCAUUGAACAAAAGGGAAUUUUUCAUUAAAAUGUAUAUUCUGGGCUUCUGAAACAAAAUCAUAAGUUCAGGCAUCACUAGGCCCACAUUCUGUGUGGCAUCAAUCCAGAGCUGAGUAAUGGUAGCUGUUUAUGGAAGAGGCAUGAAUUCUCCAGUUGCGGUAGUUUCCAUCAUUCUCACUUUGUUUUCCUAACUGGCCUUGUCUGUGUCAUAUCUGAGUUUGCAGCCCCUGCUAAGCUUUGUUUUCUUUCUGGUUUUCUUUUACCCAACUUCCAAGUUCCCUUCAGAAGGCUCACAACAUAUAAUCCUGGGAAGUUCUUCUUCUUGCUAUCUGUUGCAAAUUGGUGUAAGGACAGACUCUUCACAAGAAAUGGAUGCUUCAAACUGGAUUUGGCCCAAUUCUGAGAUGAAAACCUCUCUCUGCAGUUCCUGGUAUCACCUGAAAAGCAAAAAAUAAGGAUUUUCUUCCUUCUCAAUGCCAUCUAGCACUUGAAGAAAAACUGCCAGCAAGCCAGAUGGUAAGUUGUCA